rnacentral:tRNA from 2 species
AGCGAGGUGACCGAGAGGCUUAAGGUACCUUCUUGGAAAGGAGGCAGCCGUUUUAAAGCGGCUCUGGGGUUCGAAUCCCCAUCUCGCUGCCA